ACAAUGGCGGGUGGCCUAUCAGUGAUUGUGUGAUUGUUUAUUCGGGACACGGGUGGAGCUGUGGUCUAAACCACUGAGCCUCUUGGGCUUGCUAAUCAGAAGGUCAAUGGUUCAAAUCUCUGUGACGGGGUGAGCUCAUGUUGCUCUGUCCCAGCUUCUGCCAACCUAACAGUUUGAAAGCACACCAGUGCAAGUAGACACAUAGGUACCAUGGCAGCAGGAAGGUAAACGGUGUUUCUGUGCACUCUGGUUUCCGUCACGGUGUCCUGUUGUGCCAGAAGCAGUUUAGUAAUGCUGGCCACAUGACCCGGAAAGCUGUCUGUGGACAAACGCCAGCUCCCUCUGCGUGAAAGCGAGAUGAGCAUCGCACCUCUUAGUCGCCUUUGACUGGACUUAACCGUCCAGGGGUCCUUUACCUUUACCUCCUGAGUUUAGUGGGACAUACUCCCUGAUAGUGGCCACGGGACUGCAGCAAAUGUGAGACAGAAGACACAUAAUUUUUCUCUAUUUGGGGGGGUGGGUGGCAGCUGUUCAAUCCACUUCUGUUUCACACUAUUCUUCAUGUUUGUCCCCACUUAAUCCAAUAGCUGCUUUGUUUGAAGAGUUUUGCACAUCCAUUGCAAGAAAGAACAAGAGGCUAAUGACUGAAUAGUGAAUAAAUAAUUUUACUUUCUACCCCUAUGAGAGAACAUAACAUUAGAGGCC